rnacentral:rRNA from 1 species
UACGUAGGCAGCAAGCGUUGUUCGGAAUUACUGGGCGUAAAGAGUGCGUAGGCGGUGCUCUAAGUCUGUCGUGAAAUCUCCCGGCUUAACUGGGAGGGUGCGGCGGAAACUGGAGUGCUUGAGGGUGGGAGAGGUAAGCGGAAUUCCUGGUGUAGCGGUGAAAUGCGUAGAUAUCGGGAGGAACACCUGUGGCGAAAGGGGCGCACUGGACCACAUCUGACGCUGAGGCGCGAAAGCUAGGGGAGCAAACAGG